AGAAGUCGUAAACAAGGUUUCCGUAGGUGAACCUGCGGAAGGAUCAUUG
rnacentral:rRNA from 5 species